GUGUCAGCCGCCGCGGUAAUACGAACCGUCCAAACGUUAUUCGGAAUCACUGGGCUUAAAGGGUUUGUAGGCGGCGCUGUUAGUCGGGUGUGAAAGCCCUCGGCUCAACCGAGGAAUUGCGCCCGAUACUGCAGUGCUUGAGGGAGACAGAGGUAAGCGGAACUGAUGGUGGAGCGGUGAAAUGCGUUGAUAUCAUCAGGAACACCGGUGGCGAAAGCGGCUUACUGGGUCUCUUCUGACGCUGAGAAACGAAAGCUAGGGUAGCGAAGGGGAUUAGAUACCCCAGUAGUCC
rnacentral:rRNA from 1 species